UACGUAGGGCGCAAGCGUUGUCCGGAAUUAUUGGGCGUAAAGAGCUCGUAGGCGGUCUGUCGCGUCUGCUGUGAAAACUCAGGGCUUAACCCUGAGCUUGCAGUGGGUACGGGCAGACUAGAGUGCGGUAGGGGAGACUGGAAUUCCUGGUGUAGCGGUGAAAUGCGCAGAUAUCAGGAGGAACACCGGUGGCGAAGGCGGGUCUCUGGGCCGUAACUGACGCUGAGAAGCGAAAGCAUGGGGAGCGAACAGG
rnacentral:rRNA from 1 species